GAGUUUGAUCGUGGCUCAGGAUGAACGCUGGCGGCGUGCUUAACACAUGCAAGUCGAACGGAGUGCUCAUGACGGAGGAUUCGUCCAACGGAUUGAGUUACUUAGUGGCGGACGGGUGAGUAACGCGUGAGGAACCUGCCUCGGAGUGGGGAAUAACAGCCCGAAAGGGUUGCUAAUACCGCAUGAUGCAGUUGGGCCGCAUGGCUCUGACUGCCAAAGAUUUAUCGCUCUGAGAUGGCCUCGCGUCUGAUUAGCUAGUUGGCGGGUAACGGCCCACCAAGGCGACGAUCAGUAGCCGGACUGAGAGGUUGACCGGCCACAUUGGGACUGAGACACGGCCCAGACUCC
rnacentral:rRNA from 1 species